AUGGAGAAAAACAUGAGUAGUGAUGUCGAUGUUGCUUCUUUUUUGUUGGACAGGGUUCACGCCAUUACAUCUUCAAGGGAACGAAGUUAUUAGAUAUAACUUUACACAGAAGAGGUCUUGGAAAAAAGAUUGCAGAUGGAAGAUAAUAGGAGCAGAGCAUCCAAGACAAUAAAAGGGAGCAGCAGAAGAAACUGUCAUUACAAAUAACCCUCUUUCUUCUCAGAAAAAAUAGAAAAAGAAACC